rnacentral:misc_RNA from 1 species
GUUGCUGAAGCUCAACAUUUGAUGGAAGGUCUUGACUGGCAAGGCGCUGUUAAGGAUAUCCGUGCUUCAGUUAAUUGGCUUAAGGCUAAUGGUUCACAGAAGGUAGGAGUUACUGGAUUUUGCAUGGGAGGUGCUCUUUCAAUUGCAAGUUCUGUUUUGGUCCCAGAGAUUGAUGCUGUUGUCGCAUUUUAUGGUGUUCCUUCAUC